UUUUCACCGGAGUCCUCCAUCUGCGAGUCGUUGACGUCGACUUCAUUAGGAUACAUCAGUAAAUAUAUCAGCUUUGUAUCAUAUUUAAGAAUACCACUCUGGAAAACGUCGUGUACUGCAACAGGAAUAACUUUGGAGCCAACUUUUCGGACUCGGGAAAUGUGUCAUGUCCGCCGUGAACUUUCUUCAUGCUAGCGGACACUAAAGAAAUAGGCGAGGCAGUUUCAGGCCUGAUCUGACUGAUUGUGACAGAGAGGGGGAAAACGUUGGCUUUGAAAUCAUCAAUGUCUGCAGAGCAGUUUCCAGGCGGUGCAGACAGACCAGAGGAUGCUGACUACGAGAGACAGACCUAUAUUCCUAACAUCAGUGAACUUCAGCAUGGAUUCAAAGGUACAAAGACCCCUUUCAUACUGUACAAAGAAUCGAGAAACAUUCUGGUUUAAAUAGAUAAAGGAACAACUAUAAUACACUGAUAUACAUUCCAUUAAACAUGACUAAAUACUGACAUCAGGGAAGUUGACUGUUCCUUCCUUGCAAAAAGUUACAUUUAGAUUUGAACAAGCAACAUGAUUUUGUUGAGCUUCUCAGUCUGUUAGCUUUCACAUUUCAAUGUAUUUAAGGAAAUUAUUAUUUUACUAUUGUGAAAAUUACUACCAUUUGUCUCUAUAUAUUGUCACUGCUGAGCAUGUUAGCUUAGCUUGGUAGCCUCAGCUAGCUCUGGAACUUCCAGCUCGGUGGCAGGAGGUCCCGCCUCUUUGCCCUUAUUUGGAGCAGGCGGGAGUUAGAAUCUGACGUCACUUUUGAGCCAUUAGUAGCCGACACCGCCUACUUUAGGCUUCUCAGCAACUCUGCAGAAUCCUAUAGGUGACGUCACGGACACUACGUCCAUUUAUAUAUACAGUCUAUGGUUACAACACAUUUUAACCUGAAAUUAAAUGGUGUUUUGUUUUUUAAGAAUUCACUAACAUCGCGAGACAUUCCGACACCAGAGAAAAAAUGUGCGGGCAGAUUAGUAAACCUGGUGCAGGGGUCUCCAACACGUCGAUCGUUCAGUAGCUCGCCGCUUGCGGUUCACAGACUGUGUGCAGUGCAUGACAUUAAGGAUUUUGGGAGAUGGCCCUGUGGGCCAUCUAAGCUAAUUUACAGAUGGCCCUG